AUUGAACGCUGGCGGCAUGGCUAAAACAUGCAAGUCGAGCGCGAAAGUCACUUCGGUGGCGAGUAGAGCGGCGAAAGGGCGAGGAAUACGUUCCUACGUACCCCGAGGUCAGGGAUAGCCCAGGGAAACUUGGAUUAAUACCUGAUGUGGUCCUUCGGGAUCAAAGGCUUGCCGCCUCGGGAGCGGGGAACGUCCUAUCAGGUUGUUGGUGAGGUAAAGGCUCACCAAGCCUUAGACGGGUAGCGGGUGUGAGAGCAUGACCCGCCGCAUCGGGACUGAGACACUGCCCGGACUCCUACGGGAGGCUGCAGUAACGAAUCUUCCGCAAUGCGCGAAAGCGUGACGGAGCAAUGCCGCGUGCAGGAUGAAGGCCUUCGGGUUGUAAACUGCUGUCAGGGUUUAGGAAGAAAGUGACCAAACCCAAAGGAAGGGCCGGCUAACUUCGUGCCAGCAGCCGCGGUAAUACGAAGGGCCCGAGCGUUAAUCGGAAUCACUGGGCUUAAAGCGUACGCAGGUGGAUAUGAAGGCAUCUUGUGAAAUCCCUCCGCUCAACGGAGGAACUGCUUGGUGAACCG
rnacentral:rRNA from 1 species